rnacentral:lncRNA from 1 species
AACCUCUCAAGCUUCUUCCUUUUGCCUAGCCGUCGUGAGGGGCUUCCAUCGGUUUUCACCGGUGGAAAGCCCCAAAUCAAUUAUUUUCUUUGUUUUGCUCUUGUUUUUCAAUAAUACUCCUCCCCAGAUAAGGGUUUCUAUCUUUCAAGAUUGUAUCUUUGUUUGAUAAAAUCCUUUUUGGGUGAGUUUUGUUCCCAAUUUAUUUGGGUUUUGUUUAUUCUCUCCUUGUGAGAGCUUGGUGUGUUUUUUGGUGUGUUUUGGUGUGAUUCAAUGUUCAGGACGUUAGAUCUGCCAGAUUUUCAAGGGAUCGAUUCAGAGGUAAAGAUUUAUAUGGGAUUGCAGUUACGAUCGAUAGCUCAAACGGGUUUUGAUGAAGUUUUGAUGAAAGCUAUAUGUGUAUAUAUCAAUUUCAACAAAUCGCUUGAUUGUGUCUUUAUAAAGACUAGAUUAAUCAGCGAUAUGAUCUGUUUUAUGUUUGUUC